UAACCUCCCGGAGCACGUUUUUAUGUAUGAUUAAGUUGACACAUUAGAACUAUUUUACUCUAGACAAUGUUAGUUGCUAAUAGAAUUUGUUUAACCAGUCCAAUAUUUUAUGACACCUUUGCCUCUGGCACAGAUUUAUUAUCACACCUAUAGGAGUGAGUAAUUUGGUUAGAUUUACAAUCACCAGAAUACCAGUAAGAGCUCAUCACUGCAACUAUACAUAACCUAAUCUAUAAAAUGAUGCAUUUGAACAACCCUGUAUAGGCUGAUCCAGGUAUUACAAUCAAUUAUGGUGGCGUUGGAAUGAGACAAGUGCGUGAAAUGCUAAAGAAACAGAGAAACAAAAACCGAAGAGAACCCUGUAUACGUCAAUAUUGUUCCACCAAUAUUUUAGCAUUGUUCACGCAUUUGGAUUUGAUUGGACAUAAGAGGAACCCUUUUCACGAGUCUAACUUUCAGACCAUGUUUCAUUUGAAUGAUAAUAGAAGCACUUGGAGAAAUUAUUUGAUCUUCCCCUAAUUGGAUAUGAUAAUUGUAUAUGAUGGUAGCUGCCACUAUUUUCAUCUGAAUGAA
rnacentral:lncRNA from 1 species